ACGUCUGCGCAUUAGCUGUACGACGCCCCAAUCGUCCUUUGUCGAAGCCCUGAGACCCACCUUUUGCCGUAACAAAAGGACAUGGUCAUCCAAUCAGGAUUGAGUCUGCUAUGGGCGGGUCCAGGAAAAACAACAGCCAAUAGUAGCACAGAAGCGAAGUUAGGCGUGAGAAAGCAAGUCCUUGGAAAGCAACCCUUCAGUCUCAGCAGGAGCCUGAAAAUUGGGGUCAGAAAUCCAGUAUGGAAAAUUCUGACAGCUGUCAAGGAAGGAGGUUAUUGAAUUCAUUGGAGAAUGCGUGCUCUCCUAAAUUUGUCCAGGAUCUUCAUAUUUGCAUAACAUGAAGCACACAUGAAACAUCACCUAUAGUGACAUGCAGUGUGACCUCAUCAUAACAUAUGCUUCUGACGACUAAAGAAGAUUUUCAGAAUAAACUAGAAGAUACCAUGAAUGUCAUCUGGGGGCCAUCUGGGGGAACUGCUGGUGACUGGAGAGCAUGUAUUCCCUUUGAGAUGGUAUACUACUGACCUCUAGUGGCAGAAUUGAUUCAAGGUCAGAUGACUUCCAAUUGACGUUUGACCUCACCAGCAUGAGAGACACCCAAGAGAGAACUACCCAGCUAAGCCAUUCCUGAAUCUCUGAGCCAUAAAAGUCAUGUGAAAAAUAAAGUGAAGGUUGCUUUACAACA